rnacentral:rRNA from 1 species
AGACGCACUCGUGCCAGCAGCCGCGGUGAUACGAAGGGGGCUAGCGUUGCUCGGAAUUACUGGGCGUAAAGGGAGCGUAGGCGGACAUUUAAGUUCAGGGGUGAAAUCCCGGGGCUCAACCUCGGAAUUGCCUUUGAUACUGGGUGUCUUGAGUAUGAGGAGAGGUAUGUGGAACUCCGAGUGUAAGAGGUGAAAUUCGUAGAUAAUUCGGAAGAACACCAAGUGGCGAAGGCGACAGUACUGGCUCAUUACUGACGCUGAGGCUCGGAAAGCGUGGGGAGCAAACAGGACUUAGAUACCCCUGGUAGUCCACGCCGUAAACGAUGAUUGCUAGUUGUCGGGAUGCAUGCAUUUCGGUGACGCAGCUAACG